rnacentral:rRNA from 1 species
UACAGAGGUGGCAAGCGUUGUUCGGAAUUACUGGGCGUAAAGGGCGCGUAGGCGGCCUUCUAAGUCAGACGUGAAAUCCCCCGGCUUAACCUGGGAACUGCGUCUGAUACUGGGAGGCUUGAGUAUGGGAGAGGGAUGUAGAAUUCCAGGUGUAGCGGUGAAAAUGCGUAGAUAUCUGGAGGAAUACCGGUGGCGAAGGCGGCAUCCUGGACCAUUACUGACGCUGAGGCGCGAAAAGCUAGGGGAGCAAACGGGG